CCAAAAGGUCAAUGGAAAAUGAUAAUGAAGAAAAAAAAAUGAAGUGUACUUUUCUAACAUGCUUCCUGUUCUUUUAUCCCUGGCAAUAAUGUCCAGGAGUUGAAUAUGUUAAAAUACAAAUUUCAUCUUCACUUAUCGGUUCCCUGUGUUUAAGCAGUAGCCGGCUGUGAAAAUUUUCAGGGACAUAGUUACCAUGUCUGACUCUGUACAAGGGCUUAAAAUAUUCUUGCCUGUUACUGGCUGUGCAUACACAUGCAUGCACACGGGUGUAGAUAAUUUUCUUGCUGUCUGAAAAUGAACGAAAUGGGACGGCAAUGAAGAGUUUUCUGUUUUUCACGUCCUCAUUUAGAGAGGGCUGUUAUAGUGACCAUGUUAUGGUGACCAUAACCAUAUAAACACAAUAUCUCCUUAUCUGUGAUUCAUUUGAAGCAACCCCCUAGUUGAGUUUUAAGUCUCUUUUCCUUCAAUACUUAACCCCAGGGGCAUAAAUUGUGGGCUGUAUCUGACCAACAGAGCACUAAAUUGUUCAAGGGAAAUACGGCAUUCCCUUCAAGCCAUCAUACUGGCAGCCACUGAGGCUGUUCCCUUUGCAUCUAGCUUCUGAGAGCUAAUGUCUUCAAACUGUGAUUGCUAGCUGUUAUCAUGCUCACAUUAUGAAUCACUUUAUGACAUCAUGUGUGAAAGUAGAAUUAUUUUCUUUCCACUGUUCUAAUAAGGCUGGCUCUAGACCUUUGAUGAAAAUAUAGUUAACUUGGAAACAACUCCUAAUUAUUUUAAAGUGAGACUUACAGUCUUGGUCUCACAAUGCAUUAUUCAAAACAAAUGGACCAAAUAGAGCCUACUUUUACUGCAGAGAUGACAAAGGGGACAUGUCCUAACAUGUGACUUAUGACCUAUACCCACUUCUCUUCCUUUCCUCUGAGAAUGUUAUAUAAAGAAAUAAAGAACAUAAUGAAAAAAUUAAAGAAGAUUCUGGGAGCAAGAAGGAUGCUUAUUAAUUCAGAAUUGCUUGAUCAACGCAAAGCAUGUCUCCUGAUGAAAACAGACUGUUCCUCAAAGAACAAAUUAAGGACUUUCAGUCCUGGAGGUAAAACACUGUGAGUUCAUCAUGCAGUGCUGUAAAACAAAUGUGUUAUGUGCCUGGCAACUCUGUCACACAAUCAACAGGAAGCCUGAAAUGCUGAGAUGGACUGAUUUGCACAUUUUCAUCAGGUACUUGCAAAUGCAAUCAAAAUAAACCAAUCGGAUUUAAGACUUCUUGCCA
rnacentral:lncRNA from 12 species